UGCCAGCAGCCGCGGUAAGACAGAGGGUGCAAGCGUUAAUCGGAAUUACUGGGCGUAAAGAGCACGUAGGCGGCUAAUUAAGUCGGAUGUGAAAGCCCCGGGCUUAACCUGGGAGGGUCAUUCGAUACUGGUUAGCUAGAGUAGAGUAGAGGAAAGUGGAAUUUCCGAGUGUAGGGGUGAAAUCCGUAGAUAUUCGGAGGAACACCAGUGGCGAAGGCGGCUUUCUGGACCGAUACUGACGCUGAGACGCGAAAGCGUGGGGAGCAAACAGGAUUAGAUA
rnacentral:rRNA from 1 species